UGGGUGGGGGCCUGGAUGGAGCGCGCCCCAGGCCCAUGAAGUGUAGUGAGACCUCAUAGUCAACAAGAGGCAGGACUAAUCUCUUCCGUGUGGUAACCAGUGACAGGACCCGAGAGAAUGGCCUGGAGCUCAGUCAGGGGAGGUUUAGGUUGGGUAUCAGGGUAUGGUUCGUCACCCAGAGGUGUCUGGGCACUGGCACAGGCUCCCCAGGGAAGUGGUCACAGCACCAGCCUGACAGAGUUCAAAAGGCUUUAGGACAACGCUUUUAGGCACAUGGUGUGAUUCUUAGGACUGUAUGUGCAGGGCCAGGAGUGGGACUCGACUGUGCUGGUGGGUCCCUUUCAGCUCGGGAUAGCCUGUGCCUCUGUGGGAGCCACCAGGUACGAUGCUCGGCCGAGGGGAUGGCGUGUCGCAGUGCCCCGGGCUCAGGGCCCGCCGGGGGACCGGGCGUGUCCAUCAGCCUGGCAGGAUGGAGAGGUCUCGGAGAAAGCCAGCGGAGCUCGGCGAGUCGGUGGCCUGGGGAACCCCAGACCCCCUGCGAGCGUGCCGUGGGACAGAGCCCAUGGCGUGCUGGGGCCGCUGAUGUUGGCUAGUGGGUUGCUAGCAGCUGUCCCUCCUUGGCUCUCCGUUGUCUCUGGUAACCAGGAGCCUGAGGAAGGGCAGUGGGCCCGCCCUUCUGCCUCUUGCACGGCUUCAAGUCUGCAUUUCAUGGAUUCUCUGGAGGCUUCACGUUUCCCCCAGAUGGGAAAAUGCAGGGACAAUGACUGAAGAGCUGCAUGGAAGAGAAGGUGACCACAGAGAUAGUCCUGUCAUAAUUCAGUCACUCUCCAAAGAGACAAAGCAGAAGAAAGGCAGUGGGCUGAGCAUAAAAAUGGCCUGGAAGGAGAAAGCUUUGAACUAUCUGAGACCUGCAACUAAAAUAUGCCAAAAGUUAUUGCUGCUUCAAGUAGCAUUAAGGUCUGCUUGGUGCCCAGCAGGAACAGUGUAUAUUUAGUGAGUGGCUUCAGCUUUGGCACUGAAAACCUGGAUAUUCUACCACCUUACCAGGACACAGAUCCCAUCCAGUACUGUAGUAGUGAUUUCAGACCCUGGGUUGAAUGAAACCUUCUCCCGCAAUUUUCAAACUCAGUUCUCAACAGCAGAAGGGUGAGAGGUUCAGAAGUAACACAGGAACAGGUCACCACUGAGAUGUGAAUAAACCAGAGCAAAAUCAUGCUCUUUAUUGCCUU
rnacentral:lncRNA from 1 species